rnacentral:rRNA from 1 species
GGGACGGAGAAGGUUAUGUCAGCAAGCUGUUGGAAUAGCUUGUUCAAGCCGGUAGGUGGAAAGUUUAGGCAAAUCCGGACUUUCAUAACACCGAGAAGCAAUAACGAUUGUCUACGGACAAGAAGUGACAGAUACCACGCUUCCAGGAAAAGCCACUAAGCUUCAGCCAAGUCAGAACCGUACCGCAAACCGACACAGGUGGGUAGGAUGAGAAUUCUAAGGCGCUUGAGAGAACUCAGGAGAAGGAACUUGGCAAAUUGAUACCGUAACUUCGGGAGAAGGUAUGCCCUUUGAUGUGAAAGACUAGCUCUGUAAGCAUCGGAGGGUCGCAGAGAAUCGGUGGCUGCGACUGUUUAUUAAAAACACAGCACUCUGCUAACACGAAAGUGGACGUAUAGGGUGUGACGCCUGCCCGGUGCUGGAAGGUUAAUUGAAGAUGUGAGAGCAUUGGAUCGAAGCCCCAGUAAACGGCGGCCGUAACGAUAACGGUCCUAAGGUAGCGAAAUUCCUUGUCGGGUAAGUUCCGACCCGCACGAAUGGCGUAACGAUGGCCACACUGUCUCCUCCUGAGACUCAGCGAAGUUGAAAUGGUUGUGAAGAUGCAAUCUCCCCGCUGCUAGACGGGAAGACCCCGUGAACCUUUACUGUAGCUUUGCAUUGGACUUUGAAGUCACUUGUGUAGGAUAGGUGGGAGGCUUAGAAGCAGAGACGCUAGUUUCUGUGGAGCCGUCCUUGAAAUACCACCCUGGUGACUUUGAGGUUCUAACCCAGACCCGUAAUCCGGGUCGGGGACCGUGCAUGGUAGGCAGUUUGACUGGGGCGGUCUCCUCCCAAAGAGUAACGGAGGAGUUCGAAGGUUACCUAGGUCCGGUCGGAAAUCGGGCUGAUAGUGCAAUGGCAAAAGGUAGCUUAACUGCGAGACCGACAAGUCGAGCAGGUGCGAAAGCAGGACAUAGUGAUCCGGUGGUUCUGAAUGGAAGGGCCAUCGCUCAACGGAUAAAAGGUACUCCGGGGAUAACAGGCUGAUUCCGCCCAAGAGUUCAUAUCGACGGCGGAGUUUGGCACCUCGAUGUCGGCUCAUCACAUCCUGGGGCUGUAGUCGGUCCCAAGGGUAUGGCUGUUCGCCAUUUAAAGUGGUACGUGAGCUGGGUUUAAAACGUCGUGAGACAGUUUGGUCCCUAUCUGCAGUGGGCGUUGGAAGUUUGACGGGGGCUGCUCCUAGUACGAGAGGACCGGAGUGGACGAACCUCUGGUGUACCGGUUGUCACGCCAGUGGCAUAGCCGGGUGGCUAAGUUCGGAAGAGAUAAGCGCUGAAAGCAUCUAAGCGCGAAACUCACCUGAAGAUGAGACUUCCCUGGUGGUUAAACCACCCUAAAGAGUCGUUCGAGACCAGGACGUUGAUAGGUCGGGUGUGGAAGCGCGGUAACGCGUGAAGCUAACCGAUACUAAUUGCUCGUGAGGCUUGACUCU